rnacentral:rRNA from 1 species
CGGGACGGGUGAGUAACGCGUGGGUAACCUGCCUUGUACUGGGGGACAACAGUUAGAAAUGACUGCUAAUACCGCAUAAGCGCACAGUAUCGCAUGAUACAGUGUGAAAAACUCCGGUGGUACAAGAUGGACCCGCGUCUGAUUAGCUAGUUGGUAAGGUAACGGCUUACCAAGGCGACGAUCAGUAGCCGACCUGAGAGGGUGCCCGGCCACAUUGGGACUGAGACACGGCCCAA